GCAUGGCACACGCGCGGCAGGACGUGGAGCACGAGGCGCGCGUCCAGGGAAGAAAACUGAGAGUUCGGGUGCCAACUUCAUGCUUACUUCCCAUGUCCUGACCAGAGUUCUGUUCACCCCUGUUCCUUAAGCGGCCCUCCUUAUUUCCUUCUCCACUACCAACGCCAAGGACACAGGAGGUCGGAGACCAAGGGGUUCACAAGAAACUGAUCUUUACUCAACAAAGUUCUACACAAGUGGAAUCUCACGCCGCCUCGGCGCCAGUCCCCAGCACAGCACAGUAACAAAUGGACAGAUCCGGGAGCCCGCAGGGGGAAGACGGUGAGGAGGGAAGGAGGGAUACGGGAAACAUGGAGAGAGGACUGCGGAUCAAGGCCAGUCUGGGUCCACAGCCCUGAGCAGGGGAGAAGGUUGAAAAGCUGAAACUUCGUUGUGCAAAAACCAACCAAAAAUAAAUUAAAAAAUUAAAUAGCUUUCUU